UACGUAGGGUACAAGCGUUAAUCGGAAUUACUGGGCGUAAAGCGUGCGCAGGCGGUUUUGUAAGCCUGUCGUGAAAGCCCCGGGCUCAACCUGGGAAUUGCGAUGGAGACUGCAAGGCUUGAAUCUGGCAGAGGGGGGUAGAAUUCCACGUGUAGCAGUGAAAUGCGUAGAGAUGUGGAGGAACACCGAUGGCGAAGGCAGCCCCCUGGGUCAAGAUUGACGCUCAUGCACGAAAGCGUGGGGAGCAAACAGG
rnacentral:rRNA from 1 species